rnacentral:rRNA from 1 species
AUGGGCGGCGUUGUGGAAGGUGAACAUCUCAUCCAAGCUGAAAUUUUUUCUAUGGAGGCUGGCUCAGCAAUCAAUCCCAACCGCGGACGUGCUGCAUCAUCGGAAUAUGUCUACAACUACAUGUUGUGGCCUCUGCGAAGCCGAGGACUCUUGGCAACACUCGUUGCUCCAUUGCACGGUCGCCAGAUGCGUUUGGGCACUGCUCGACCAAGAUCUCGUGGAAGCUUUGAACACCACAACGGAACCAGAUGCAAAACGAUGGCUUUUCUCGGUCCAGGAGAUGCUCUCUCCGCAAGGGUUCAUCUUGGUAAUCACGACCCUAUGGGCACUUUGCCAAGAUGGAUCCCUCCUCCUGAAGGAACUGCAAAAAUCCGAGUCGAUGGGGCUGUCUCGAGAGAUGGUAACGUUGGUUCGUUCAGUGCCAUGUGCAAAAAUUCAUCAGGAAUUUUUUUGGGUGCUUCGGUUAUCAAGAUCCAUGGAGCUACGGAUUCGGAGACGCUUGAAGCGUUGGCAUGCCGCGAGGCGCUAGCGCUCGCAGCGGACUGGACCUUGCUCCAACGUGGCUACACGACAGCACGGUGGAGGUGCGGGAGUGGAGGACGCCAGGGUGGAGCGGCCUACAGCGACGGCGCGGCGGAGGUGCGGUGGUGGAGGACGCCGAGGCGGGACGGCCUGCAGCGGCGGCCCAAUGGAGGCGCAACUACGGGCGGCGGCGACAUGUGGCUUGACGUCAAACCCCCCACCCCCAACCCCCACCGCCGAACCGCAAGCCGCACCCGGAAACGGACCCAGAAGCGCCAAGGCCCCACCGGUCACGCACACGCGCGCCCGAACGGCCCCCGCCGCUCUGCCCUCGUCGGCGUGCGCGCGAAGCUGCCUGCCGACCCCAUCCAUCGCUACGCGUCCCCCGCCAUACCGUUGCACACCCAGACUCAGUUACUGCUCCUCUACUCCCUCCCUGUCCGCCUGCCUCCCUCCGCGUGUAGGCUCUCUCCGCUGGCAGGGCAGAGUAGAGUAGAGCGAGCGCCCUUCAAUUCUCUCCAACCCAGCCGGGCAAUGCCGUACAAACCCUAG